GACGAACGCUGGCGGCGUGCUUAACACAUGCGAGUCGAACGGAAAGGCCCUGCUUUUGUGGGGUGCUCGAGUGGCGAACGGGUGAGUAACACGUGAGUAACCUGCCCUUGACUUUGGGAUAACUUCAGGAAACUGGGGCUAAUACCGGAUAGGAGCUCCUGCUGCAUGGUGGGGGUUGGAAAGUUUCGGCGGUUGGGGAUGGACGCGCGGCUUAUCAGCUUGUUGGUGGGGUAGUGGCUUACCAAGGCUGUGACGGGUAGCCGGCAUGAGAGGGUGACCGGCCACAUUGCGACUGAGAUACGGCCCAGACUCCUACGGGAGGCAGUAGUGGGGAAUCUUGUCCAAUGGGCGGAAGCCUGAUGCAGCAGCGCCCCGUGCGGGAUGACGGCCUUCGGGUUGUAAACCGCUUUCGCCUGUGACGAAGCGUGAGUGACGGUAAUGGGUAAAGAAGCACCGGCUAACUACGUG
rnacentral:rRNA from 1 species